rnacentral:rRNA from 1 species
GAGGGAGGCAGGUUCUUUUCAACAGGAGUCGUGUCACAUAAAUGAAAAAACGUUUUUCUGGGAGUCUCAAAAUUUGGGCAGUGCUUAUUGAGGUAGAAGAAGGAAGCACGAGGGGUCAGCGGGCGCGGAGCGUCGGUAGGAGCCGAAGGGUGGACGCGGCGGCGGGCGGACCUGGACGCGGCGCUGCUUGUGGUCGCGGCGGGUCGCGCGCUGGUUGUGGUCACGGCGGCGGACGUCGGGCGGACCUGCACGCGGCUGCGAAGGUGGACGCCGCGGGCGACGCUUCCGUUGGACGCGGCCGCGGGCGGAGCUCGACGCGGCGGUCGCGGCAACUUAGAGCGACGUUGCCAGCGGGUGGACGCGACGGGCGCCAUAGGGUGGACGCGUUGGUGGAAGCGGCGGGUGACGGUGUUUGGACGCGGAGGCUGAAGCAGGCGAAGCCGUCGGCCGCGGCGCCUGUUAAGGCCGGUGAGGACGGAGACUACAACGAUGACGGCCACCCGCUACGGCUGCACCUGGAGACUACUACGAAGAAGGGAAAGGGAACGGGGCUGAGACGAGCAUGACCACGACUAGUUCUUCAUGUCCUUGGUCUCACUUCUUCGUCUAGUUGUUAGCCUCUUUAUCGUCAUCAUCUAGUUCUUCAUGUUGUCUAGUUGUUUCGUUGUCACCAUUGACUUAAAAGUUGUGAAGAAAUAUGACGUAUUUGUAAGACACAAACUAGUUUACUAACAGUUCUAAAUACGUUUACUUCUAGUAUCAUUCUAUCGUCAUAAAUACAUGAGACUUUAAGUCAUAACCAUCUCUACAUAACUACAUAGUACACAGUACACAUACAUAACAGAGUACACAUAGAGAGACACAUUACACAAGUUACUCUUUUCUAACCUGAUACAGUUCAUUUAAUAAACUUAAUAAACUAAAAUAAACUUAAAUAUACUAAAAUAAACUUAAUAAACCUAAAUAAACUAAAAUAAA